UUCCAGCCCGCCUUCCUCCAUGGCUUCCAAGAGCUGGGAGGUACCAGCCCCGCGCCCGGCCAAGAAAAGUGCCCAGAGACAGAGCAGCCAAGAGUCAGGAGGCUGAGACUGCAGCGGCCCCUGAGGGACGGACAGGGGCAGCCCUCUGUUACCAGAAGGUCAAAGGCAAAGUUGAGAUAGUGCCAUCUUCUCACACCUCUCCCCACCCAGCUGGGCAGCCUGAGGAGUGGGCUCCAGGAUCAUGAGAAACCUCGUCCCUGCUGAGCAGCUGUAGGGGGCAGAAGGGCCAUGGAUUGAUAACCACCCGAAGUGUGACAUCUCCUGUGUUUGGCCUGUUCAAGGACUAGCAAGGAGUAGACACACAGACACAUCCAAGAAGAAAAGUCAAAUAGAUAGUUGAAAUCCAGUGUUCCCAGGGUAUGUGGGCUAAAUAUAUUUUGGGCUUCUAUCAGCAUAUAGAUACUAGACUAACUGAGAUCAGGAGUCACUGCAGAUAGAGCAGGGGUCCAGAAUUGAACAUUGGGACAUUCCAAAUUUAGAGGUUGGAAGAAUGAGGAAGGACCAGUGGACAUGAAGAGCAGCAAGGCAGAAGUGAGAUACUGAAAGAUGGGAAGUUCAUAAGGAAGAAAGUGAGCAAUUCAUCAAAUUCUAACAUGGGAUUGAAAAUUGAUCACAGGAAGUGGUUGCAUGAGGCUGGAGUAAAGGGAGUUGCGGACAAGGCAGCAUGGUGACCAGCAGAGUGAGGAAAGGAGAUGAAAUAGAGAAAUAAGGACCAGAUGCGUCUCAGUCCGUCACCUCAGACACAUGACUCGGGGCUGAAGAGUGGGGAAGGGCCCUGGGUCCCAGCCACAUGCUAUCACCAAUGUUGCUAAGCACUGCUUUUAAGACUCCCAGGGCACUGCAUGAAAAAACAGCAACUGGCCCCUUCCAUAAUCAGCAAUUUGCAAUAUACAGUGUCCUACAAGAUAGAAUGCCACAACAGAUGAUUAUCUGGUCAAAAACAGUCUUUGUACAGGAAUAGGUUAAAGCAAGAGUUCUUUGAUUAUUGUUUUGGCAGAAAAAGGCAAAGUGAAAAACAAUUCCAGAAAAAAAAGUUACGAAGC
rnacentral:lncRNA from 10 species